GCAGUGUUCAGAGUUUGGAGUCCAGAGGUUGAAGUUUUCACUAAGGAUGAAGAUUAAGUGAGCAGGCGUUCAGUUGUCUGAGAUGGAGCUGAGCUCACAACAGGAGCACUGAACACUAUCUCAAGAUCGGAGGCCUGAAUAUGAAAUGAUCUGACCUCUGACCUCUUGUUCUCAGUAACAAGGAUUCAUCCUGUUGUGAAACACAAAGCCAACAGGAAAUCUCUGUUACUGGUGAUGAAGGUUCAGUACUGACAAUCAUGAAGGUCAGAAGAAACUGAAGACAACUUUAAAAGUGUUGAAGGAUGCUAAAUGAAUGAAAUGACCACAACUUUACUGUUCUGUUCAACAAAAGUUUCAUCACUUAUGGUGUAUUUUUUAAAUCAAUAUACAGUAUGUACAAAAGAGUCUGCUAAUAUAAAUACUACAUCAUCUAAAAUAAAAUAUGAAAUAUAUGUGAAUGUUAAAAAACAAACACUGAAAUUUAUUAUUACCAACAAUGUGCACUCGAUAAAUAGAUAAAUUUACCAGCACACGUGGGAUUUUACACUUGGGAAAAACUAAAAAAUGUACCGGAUGAAUGCGCUUUGGAUAAAAGCGUCUGCCAAAUGCUUAAAGGUAAGUGAGAGCUUCCAGCAUUAUGGAUGUGACAUUUUCAGUCAUGAAUUAAAAUAUAACUUCGCAGUAUUUAUUAACAAUAUAUUAAACCAUCUGUUUAUAUUUUCCUAAACCAGUGAUGAUAAAGUCAUCAGAAAAAUAUCAGUCUAUACUCAUGUUUACUGUUUAAGAUGAUGAAAAAACUCUAAACAUGUGUUAUGGGUAUAACAAAACUUUUUUAAGAGGCAACAAACUUUGCAGGAAUGCAUAAACAUCUCUUCAAAGAACAAACAA